CUCUCAAAAGUAUUAUACGUUUUCAAGUAUUAUAACGUUUUCUAUGCUACUUCACCGUCUCUCCACUGUAAUCCGCGGUACACACCGUCAACCUCCAUCUUCGUUUCAUCACAACAACCCUCGAAACUUCUAGAUCUGAUGAAUACUGCAAGCAAGGUGCUCGGUUUGCUAAGUGGAAAACAGUUGUUAGCAUCCCAUCUGGUCCUUCGGCUUUGGCUAUUAAGGAAGCAGCAUGGGGACUUGCACGGUACGCUGCUAUCUCUCAGGACAAUGGUCUUGUUCCAAUAG